rnacentral:lncRNA from 1 species
CGCGUGUGUGCGUGUGAGUGUGUCCUGGGGGAGGCUGCAGCCCGAGAAGGGGAACGUGCUGACAGCUACAUCAGUUAAGAGAGCUAAGACCCCAAGUGGUUGGGAAUAACCUUGCCAUCUGUCCUUCCCUCCCUGCUGGCUUGCCUGGCAAACCCUCGAGAGAUGAGUCUGGGGCCCAACGUGGGGGCCUAUAAGCCCCCCAUUCACUGCCAUCUCGUCAUGACCCCAGCAGAGGAGAAAAUCCCCACUCUCAGGAGGUCUGGCAUCCAGAGGGUGGUGGGUGACGCUGGUGGGGAAGGGGGCAGCGAGGGCAGAAGGAAGCCCAGGGGGAGGGUCUACAGUCCUCUUCCCUGGGAGGCUUCAAGGGUAGAGAGAGUCCACUUUUGACAUUGUGUCUCCGGGUUGGCUAUAGCUAGUAGAAAGCUGCGGAGAACAGUUGUUUGAAGGGGAAAGGAGGUUAAUUGUUUUAACUUGAGCAGAGUAAACUUGGAAAGUGAGAAAUCCUCCCUAUUCCAAUAGGUCUCUGGUCCAAAACCACACCUGGCCUCGCAUCCUUCUAAUGACAGUCCCCACAGAGUUCCAGGUGUUCAGCCCAGUGACUGAUGGUGAGCCCUGCCGAGUUCAGAGGGACAAGAUGGAGGCUAUAUAUAAAUCCCACAAAGUUUCAAAAGACUGGGAUCCACUUACUUCCCUGCGAUGUCUUGAAUUCUUGAGUGAAAGGCCGUCUGGGCCCUGGGAAGAACCCUUCCAGCAAGCGGAGAUGCUGAGAUGCUCGGGCAGGUGCACAUCCCCCGCGCAGCCACAAGAUGGCAGGGUCGCCCCGACGACCGAGGACUUGGCGCCAGUCCCCCGCACCAGUAGAGGGCUGUAGUUCCUCGUUGCAAAAAGUGAGAAAUGAAAACAAAAAAGAAAAACAAAACAAAACAAUAAAACCUCAGUGUCUACCAUGAU